UGGGGAAUAUUGCACAAUGGGCGCAAGCCUGAUGCAGCCAUGCCGCGUGUGUGAAGAAGGCCUUCGGGUUGUAAAGCACUUUCAGCGGGGAGGAAGGCGAUAAGGUUAAUAACCUUGUCGAUUGACAUUACCCGCAGAAGAAGCACCGGCUAACGCCGUGCCAGCAGCCGCGGUAAUACGGAGGGUGCAAGCGUUAAUCGGAAUUACUGGGCGUAAAGCGCACGCAGGCGGUCUGUCAAGUCGGAUGUGAAAUCCCCGGGCUCAACCUGGGAACUGCAUUCGAAACUGGCAGGCUAGAGUCUUGUAGAGGGGGGUAGAAUUCCAGGUGUAGCGGUGAAAUGCGUAGAGAUCUGGAGGAAUACCGGUGGCGAAGGCGGCCCCCUGGACAAAGACUGACGCUCAGGUGCGAAAGCGUGGGGAGCAAACAGG
rnacentral:rRNA from 1 species